UUUAAAAAUGAGGACUAAUGAUAUACUGAUACAGAAUAUUAGAAAUGGGAAGAACUAGGAAAGAAACUCUUAGGAUCAUCAGGAUUAUCCAAUCUCAUCAAUUUUCAGAUGCAAAACUCAAGAACCAGGAGGAAUUCUGAGUCCUCUGAGGUCUGUGGAAGAGCUGCAAUUCAUUCUAGGCAAAAAGGGUCUUAAUUGGCUCCUUUAAGUGAGAAGUACUGAUGGAAGAAUGCGCUUUCAGCCCAGCUGGAUACAAGAGCAUAAACAACUCACCAGCAACAGAGAGUAUCAGUCUUCAUUGGUCACUUGCCAAGGAUGUUGGAGGCCUCUAACUUCUGGAUCCUCAGUGCAGGUGGACUGCUUUGAUCUAACUGAGGUUUACUCACGAGGCAGAAGGACCUGACCUGGAGUCUAGCACAGACACACCAAAACAAAAAAUCAUCCCACAAUCAAGAUUUCUGGAUAAAAUGAGAGAUCCUCUCCCACAUCCUAUGGGUGAGCAGUUUGGAUUUAAUUGCUUCACUACUUUAUUUGUAAUUUUCUAAAAUAG
rnacentral:lncRNA from 1 species